UUUAUGGAGAGUUUGAUCCUGGCUCAGGACGAACGCUGGCGGCGUGCCUAACACAUGCAAGUCGAACGGAGAAUUCAAUAAGCUUGCUUAGAGAAUUCUUAGUGGCGGACGGGUGAGUAACGCGUGGGUAACCUACCCAUAAAUCCGGGACAACCCUUGGAAACGAGGGCUAAUACCGAAUAAUCUUAAGAGCUGGCAUCAGCAUUUAAGGAAAGGUGGCCUCUGAAGAUGCUACCGAUUAUGGAUGGACCCGCGUCUGAUUAGCUAGUUGGC
rnacentral:ncRNA from 1 species